rnacentral:rRNA from 1 species
AUUGAACGCUAGCGGGAUGCCUUACACAUGCAAGUCGAACGGCAGCGCGGACUUCGGUCUGGCGGCGAGUGGCGAACGGGUGAGUAAUGUAUCGGAACGUGCCCAGUAGCGGGGGAUAACUACUCGAAAGAGUAGCUAAUACCGCCUACGCCCUACGGGGGAAAGGGGGGGAUCGCAAGACCUCUCACUAUUGGAGCGGCCGAUAUCGGAUUAGCUAGUUGGUGAGGGAAAGGCUCACCAAGGCGACGAUCCGUAGCUGGUUUGAGAGGACGACCAGCCACACUGGGACUGAGACACGGCCCAGACUCCUACGGGAGGCAGCAGUGGGGAAUUUUGGACAAUGGGGGCAACCCUGAUCCAGCCAUUCCGCGUGUGCGAUGAAGGCCUUCGGGUUGUAAAGCACUUUUGGCAGGAAAGAAAUCGCACGGAUUAAUACUCUGUGUGGAUGACGGUACCUGCAGAAUAAGCACCGGCUAACUACGUGCCAGCAGCCGCCUUAA